rnacentral:sRNA from 1 species
GCAGCAAACAUUUGCGGUCCCCCGACCACCACAUCAGCCCCUGCAGAUGCCAAAGAUGAUGCCUGAAAACCAGUAUCCAUCAGAACAGAGAUUUCAGAGACAACUGUCUGAACCCUGCCACCCCUUCCCUCCUCAGCCAGGAGUUCCUGGAGAUAAUCGCCCCAGUUACCAUCGGCAAAUGUCAGAACCUAUUGUCCCUGCAGCUCCCCCGCCCCCUCAGGGAUUCAAGCAAGAAUACCAUGACCCGCUCUAUGAACACGGGGUCCCGGGCAUGCCAGCGCCCCCAGCACACAGGUUCCAGUCACCAAUGGGAAUCAAGCAGGAGCCUCGGGAUUACUGCGUCGAUUCAGAAGUGCCUAACUGCCAGUCAUCCUACAUGAGAGGGGGUUAUUUCUCCAGCAGCCAUGAAGGUAAGGAGCCUGCUUUUCUUUCCUCUCCUCUACUCUCUCCUCUCCUUUCUUCCUUCCUUUCUCUCUGUCUUUCUUUCUCCUACCUUCCUUCCUUCCUCUUUCUUUUCUUGACUAAUACCCAAGCUAAAAAUUGCUCAGUUUCCAGGCUAAGAUUUGAGAUCAUAGUUUAAACCUGGCUUAGCUCAUGAAUAUGAGAGCUAAUUG